rnacentral:rRNA from 1 species
UGCAAGUCGAGGGGUAACAGGGGUAGCAAUACCUGCUGACGACCGGCAAACGGGUGCGGAACACGUACGCAACCUUCCCAAAACUGGUGAAUAGCCCUCCGAAGGGAGGAUUAAUACACCGUAACAUAAUGAAGUGGCAUCACUUUAUUAUUAUAGCUCCGGCGGUUUUGGAUGGGCGUGCGCCUGAUUAGGUAGUUGGCGGGGUAACGGCCCACCAAGCCUGCGAUCAGUAACUGGUGUGAGAGCACGACCAGUCACACGGGCACUGAGACACGGGCCCGACUCCUACGGGAGGCAGCAGUAAGGAAUAUUGGUCAAUGGACGGAAGUCUGAACCAGCCAUGCCGCGUGAAGGAUGAAGGUCCUCUGGAUUGUAAACUUCUUUUAUCUGGGACGAAAAAAGGAAAUUCUUUUCCACUUGACGGUACCAGAGGAAUAAGCACCGGCUAACUCUGUGCCAGCAGCCGCGGUAAUACAGAGGUCCCAAGCGUUGUUCGGAUUCAUUGGGCGUAAAGGGUGCGUAGGUGGCGGGGUAAGUCAGGUGUGAAAUCUCGGGGCUCAACCCCGAAACUGCACUUGAUACUGCCUUGCUUGAGUACUGGAGAGGAGAUUGGAAUUUACGGUGUAGCAGUGAAAUGCGUAGAUAUCGUAAGGAAGACCAGUGGCGAAGGCGAAUCUCUGGACAGUUACUGGCACUGAGGCACGAAGGCCAGGGGAGCAAACGGGAUUAGAUACCCCGGUAGUCCUGGCAGUAAACGGUGCGCGUUUGGUGUGGGAGGAUUCGACCCCUUCCGUGCCGGAGCUAACGCGUUAAACGCGCCGCCUGGGGAGUACGGUCGCAAGAUUAAAACUCAAAGAAAUUGACGGGGGCCCGCACAAGCGGUGGAGUAUGUGGCUUAAUUCGAUGCAACGCGAAGAACCUUAC